rnacentral:rRNA from 1 species
UCAUGGAGCGGCCGAUGGCAGAUUAUGUAGUUGGUGGGAUAAAAGCUUACCAAGCCGACAAUCUGUAGCUGGUCUGAGAGGACGACCAGCCACACUGGGACUGAGACACGGCCCACACUCCUACGGGAGGCAGCAGUGGGGAAUUUUGGACAAUGGGGGAAAGCCUGAUCCAGCCAUGCCGCGUGCAGGAUGAAAGCCUUCGGGUUGUAAACUGCUUUUGUACGGAACGAAAAGGU